CUGAUAGCUACUGUGUAGCAGUAGCUCCAGAAGAGCUGGGAUUCAUCUCACCUGCAUUUGAUACCUAAUUCUACAUGUCUGUUUCUGAUCUGGUUACUCUGAGUUGUUUCUAAGUGUAGAAGCAACAGGAAAAAAACAGGAACUAUCAGGAAGCAUUUCAUUCAGUGCAGUGUUUCUUAUUUUCAUUCAUGAAGAAAAUAAGGAUACAUAAAAGCUGGUCUACCAACUGAGAAUAGCAGUUCAUUCAUACUUUCCCUUCUCUCCUGAGGCAAAUGGCAAAAGCUGGCACAAAAACCCAGGGUGGCGUGCACAUUGUUGAUCUUUUGGAAUAACCAACUGCCAGGGAAAUAUCAACUUACUUCUGCAAUUCAGUGGCAUCCAGGAAAGUGUUCAGAAGCAUCCCAGGAGCAUGAGACAAAAUGUAGAGAGUUUGCAGGUUAAAGGCAAGCAACAAGCAGUGGAUGGGCUUUGAGAUAGUUCCCUCUGGACAUAGCACACAGUAACUAAGAUUCGUGUUUAAAGGGGUAGAUGUUACAAUUUCGAGCAGUGGUUUACACACUAUGGAAAAAAAAUGCUGCAGAGACAUGCUUUACAUGGACUUGGUAUGUGCAGAACAGUGUGCUUUCUGGUAGUUUAAAAUUAUUGGGUUUUGUUCUUCAGUGUGGAUAUCCAACCUACCAGGACAGACUCUGUCUUCGGCACCUGGAUCCCCCUUCAGGUUGGCAAAUAAAACUUUGUCAGGACUGUAAGAGGGCAGUGGCUGUGUUUUCAGUCCCAGUCAAGCCUUAUCUUGGCAGCAAGAUGUGAGAUCCUGGUGAAUGAGAUGUUUUGGGAGGAAUCUGCAGUGCUUCCCAGGGUUUCUGGGCACAGAGAUUUGCAGUGGACAGAGAAGUGUCUAAAGAGAAAUCUUGUCCUUGGAGAGUAAAGCCCAUCAUUCCAUAUUAAACUGGUGCCUGGCAAACACAUUUUUCUGACCCAGGUCAGCAGGACAGAGGUACUAGAAGGGCAUUGCUAAUCUCUGCUAGGGGAAAGAGGAGGAGGUAGCUUCUAAUCAUUACUGUAAUUGACCUUCUACAGAGAAAAAAAAGACUCAAAAACUGUAA